rnacentral:lncRNA from 1 species
AACUGUGGGACUUUAGAGGGAUUCACCCAGAGAGAGGCUGUAAGAGAAAAUGGCUCAGAACAAAUGAAAUAUUCUAGGAUGUAUGUAAUUUUUGCCCUGUAUUUUAAAGUCCAGUUCAAUGUGACUGAUUAAAUUUUAAGAUCAGUCUGUCUGCAUCAUGAGAUAAUAAUGUUGGCCUCAGACCUGUGAUGCUGAUGAUGUCACAACCGGGUGAGUAAACUUGCUCACUGGCUUUCCCAGGAAAUCUCCCUGAGGUUGGCUAGAACACCUGAAGACCUGGGGGGGGGGGGAGUACACCUGGACUGGCCAUGUCUGAAGAAAUGGCAAACAAGGAAAACCAUAAUCCUGAGGCUAAGUCAAAAAGUAGAGCUGAGAAGAAAACAGGCAACCGGAGGUUCAAUCCAUUCAGUUUAUUCUCCGAGGGACCAAAAAAGGUAGGUCUAAAGGGCUGAAUCCUAGCUUUGGUGUAAUCUAGACAGUAGCUGUGUUAGUCUGUUGUAGCAAAAGAGAAAUUGGAAGUCAGGUAGCACCUAUAAGUGGAACUAGUUUUUAUUUUUCAUAAGCUUUUUACUCUCCAAACACGCUUUUUCAAAUGAAUAGAGCAGCUUUGUUUAGUUUAGGUAAAGGUUUCCCUUGACAAUUUUUGUCCAGUCGUGUCCGACUCUAGGGGGCGGUGCUCUUCCCCAUUUCCAAGUCAUAGAGCCAGCGUUUGUCCGAAGACAAUCAUUCGUGGUCACGUGGCCAGUGUGACUUAGAGGUGGUCCCUAUUUAUCUACUCGCAUUUGCAUGCUCUGAAACCACUAUGUUGGCGGGAGCUGGGACAAGCGACGGGCGCUCACUCCAUCACAUGGAUUUGAUCUUACACUUGAAGAUCUACAGACC